AGUGACUCUAUAUCAAUUUGUAACGAUAGAAAUUAAAGCCCAGAGAGGCUUUCGUGGACGGAAAGGAAGGUGCUGCUUGAGGGGCCGCCCUCACCCAGGCAUGUCCAGGCUGCAGGAUUGUGGUCAUCUGGGUCACCGAGGCACUUGAGGAUGAUGGGAGGGAAUAGCUCUGGAGCAACAAAUCCAGAGACCCCGGGAUGACUGAGAGGCACCAUGAACAGCCCCGAGGCAGCCGAGGUGUGGCGCGUCUGCCGCAGAAGAGAAUGAAACUCUGAGGACAAACGGAUGGUGUCCGCUGUCUGCAGAAAGAAACGCUGUUGCUGGCCCGUGACUGCUGCUUCUGUUAGCACACUGGCUUUCCCCCCACUUAAGGAACAGCAUGGGCAAGAGUAAAACGUGUCUUCUACCUUGACAGAAUUGUGUCCGAAGCCGGGCCCAGUGGGUGAGAGUGCCCACUGAAGCGGCAGGAUGGACUGGUCCAAGUCCUUACCUCGCCUGCAGAAACAAAGCCGGAGAGAGGACGGGUCUGA